GGGGAAUAUUGGACAAUGGGGGAAACCCUGAUCCAGCGAUGCCGCGUGUGUGAAGAAGGCCUGCGGGUUGUAAAGCACUUUUAGCUGGGAAGAAAUGCUUGCCAUGAAUCGUGGUGAGAGCUGACGGUACCAGCGGAAUAAGCACCGGCAAACUCUGUGCCAGCAGCCGCGGUAAUACAGAGGGUGCGAGCGUUAAUCGGAAUGACUGGGCGUAAAGGGCGUGUAGGCGGUUAGACAAGUUAGCUGUGAAAGGCCAAUGCUUAACAUUGGGAAGCCAGCUAAGACUGUAUAGCUAGAGAGCAGUAGAGGGUAGCGGAAUUUCCGGUGUAGCGGUGAAAUGCGUAGAGAUCGGAAAGAACAUCAGUGGCGAAGGCGGCUAUCUGGACUGCAACUGACGCUGAGACGCGAAAGCGUGGGGAGCAAAC
rnacentral:rRNA from 1 species